rnacentral:rRNA from 1 species
UACGUAGGGUGCAAGCGUUGUCCGGAAUUAUUGGGCGUAAAGAGCUUGUAGGCGGUUUGUCGCGUCUGCUGUGAAAUUUCGGGGCUCAACCCCGAACUUGCAGUGGGUACGGGCAGACUAGAGUGUGGUAGGGGAGACUGGAAUUCCUGGUGUAGCGGUGAAAUGCGUAGAUAUCAGGAGGAACACCGAUGGCGAAGGCAGGCCUCUGGGCCACUACUGACGCUGAGAAGCGAAAGCAUGGGGAGCGAACAGG